AUGAAACCUCUAAGUGAUCCUCACUCUGAAGGACUAUUUUUCAAAAGAAUCUUUGGCUCAGAGAAUUCCUGCCCUCACAUGUUUAUUGAAGUUUCAAAAGCUAUCUUGAAAAAGUGUGGAGGCCUACCAUUGGCGAUUAUCAGUAUUUCUGGUUUACUAGCAAACAGACCACGUGUCAAAGAAGAGUGGGAGAAGGUAAAAAGAUCAAUUGGUUCUGACUUGAACAAAAGCCAGAGUCUAGAGGGAAUGAAAAACAUACUGUCCUUGAGCUAUAAUGAUCUUCCACCAAACCUCAAGACUGUCUUGUUGCACUUAAGUAAUUUCCCCGAGGAUUAUGUGAUUGACAGAGAAAGGUUGGUGAGGCAAUGGAUUGCGGAAGGCUUUAUUUCUGAAGAGCGUGGGAGGAGCUGUCAAGAGGUUGCAGAAAGUUAUUUUUACGAGCUUAUCAAUAAAAGCCUGGUCCAACCAGUGGACAUUCGUUAUGAUGGGAAGGUGCAGGCGUGUCGAGUUCAUGACAUGAUGCUUGAACUUAUCAUUUCAAAAUCCAUUGAAAAAAAUUUCAUCACUGUGGUGAACGGCAGUCAAACUGUUUGGGGAAAUUCUCAGUGUUCUAUUCGACGUUUAUCGAUCCAGGACAUUGACCAGGAGCUUGCAUCUGAAUUGUCAAAGAAAGAUCUAAGCCAUGUCCGAUCUCUUAUAAUAACAGCAUCAAGAUGUAUGAAGCACUUGCCCAGUCUUGCAAAGUUUGAAACUUUACGUGUACUAGAUUUUGAAGAUUGUCAGAGCCUGACGGAGUCUGAUAUGAAAGGUAUGGAAAACCUGUUCCAGCUAAAGUACCUGAGCUUUAGGAGUACGGGCAUAUCAGAGCUACCAUCUGGAAUUGUGAUGCUACUUGAUCUAUAGACGCUAGAUUUAAGGGGUACAAAAAUCAUUGACUUGCCAGCUAGAAUUGUUCAGCUCACUAAACUACAACAUCUACUCAGUAGCUUCAAUCUGUGGACGAUACCAAUCGGGAUUGGCAAUAUGACAAACUUAAGGGAGAUCCCAGGCUUUGAUAUUACCAUGAGUUCAGUAGGUGCAAUAGAGGAGCUAGGGAGCCUGAUCAAUUUGAAUGCACUCUGUGUACGUUACAUGGUGCACGCAUCUCAAGAGUACAAGAGGCAUGAAGAGAUGUUAGUCGCUUCACUAUGCAAUCUUGGCGGCUACAAACUCCAGUCCUUGUAUAUAUAUGGUGAUACUUCAUAUGCAUUCGAGUUAUUAGAUUCCUGGUCUCCUCUUCCAUCUUGCCUCCAAAGAUUUGAGAUGGGCACCACCGAGUACUGUUUAUCAAAACUGCCAAAGUGGAUUACUCCAGCACUCACCAGUCUUGCAUACCUAGACAUUAUUUUAAGUGUAAUAACAGAGGAGGUUCUUGGCAUACUUGGGGAGCUGUCUGCAUUACUUUGUCUGAAACUUUAUACCAACACAGUCCAUAAAGACAGGCUUGUUUUGCCAGGCAGAGGAUUCCAAUGUUUGAAGGAGUUCCUUUAUAAACCUUGUGAUGAAGGUGCAGGGACCCUUCUGUUUGAGGAAGGGGCACUGCCAAAGCUCGAGAAGCUUGAGCUGUGGUUCUCUGUAUCAGUGGCAAAGGCCUAUGGGUUGUCCUUAGGUAUUGAGCACCUCCCGUAUCUGAAAGAUGUACGAGUUAUUCUGCAGAAGCGGGAUGCCACAUCUUCUGAAGUUGAGGCUGCAGAAGUUGCCAUAAGGAAUGAAAUGAGUCUGCAUCCCAACCAUCCCAGGUUAUCUCUCUUCAAGGAGAUGAAAGAAUGA
rnacentral:rRNA from 1 species